rnacentral:tRNA from 1 species
AAUUAGCUCAGCUGGUUAGAGCGUCGGAUUGUGGUUCCGAAGGUCGUGGGUUCGAAACCCACAUU